rnacentral:lncRNA from 1 species
AAUAGACGAGAGAGAACCGGGCUUAGAGGAGUCAGUGUAAAGAGAAGGCUAAGGAUAACUCGGCUCUGGAGAGUAGAGAAUAUGCCUUCUCUUCUGCCCCUCCAGGAACCUUACUUUUUUUUUUUUAAACAAAAAACAAAAACAAAAAACAAAAACCAAAAACCAAAAACCAACCACCACCUUUUAUUUAAAAGUCUAACCUUGGGAAUUUGCUGGGGAGAAGGAACUCAGUGAAUAUUGCCCUGGGUCCUGGUAAUUCCACCUACUGAAGACAACUGCCCCUUCUGCUCAUAUUUCCUGAGUCAACAUGGCCGUUCCUAACUUUGAAGAGACUUUAGACAUUCUUUGUUACAAUGAACCUAGAAGAAAGAAGAGAAAUAAUAACUGCCAUGGAAGGAUGCUCCUCCUGCCAAUUGGCACUUAUCAAUGACAUCGAGGGAGAGGGACAGAGUGCCUAGGUAUGAGCCUUCAUCAAGUGGUAUGAAGGCCCUACCCCAACAGAAAGUGCUGAUGUGAUGAAAUGGUGCUUUGGACAAGACUUUUCCUCCAAGUUGGUCCUAUCCAGGGGUUGGCAAACAGGGUCCCUGGACAUCAUCCAUGUGGCAUACUCUUAUGAAUAAAGUUCUAUAGGACACAGACCUGC